rnacentral:rRNA from 1 species
UACGUAGGGACCAAGCGUUGUUCGGAAUUACUGGGCGUAAAGGGCUCGUAGGUGGCCAACUAAGUCACACGUGAAAUCCCUCGGCUUAACCGGGGAACUGCGUGUGAUACUGGAUGGCUUGAGUUUGGGAGAGGGAUGCGGAAUUCCAGGUGUAGCGGUGAAAUGCGUAGAUAUCUGGAGGAACACCGGUGGCGAAGGCGGCGUCCUGGACCAACACUGACACUGAGAGACGAAAGCUAGGGGAGCGAAUGGGAU